rnacentral:tRNA from 1 species
GUCCCGUUCGUCUAGAGGCCUAGGACGCUGCCUUCUCAAGGCGGUAACACGGGUUCGAAUCCCGUACGGGAUA